rnacentral:lncRNA from 1 species
UGCCGCCGCUGAAAAAUUUAGGAAUGUACUAGAAUUCUUCAUAAAAUGUACUAGAUUGUACUCACUGUCACCAACAACGAAAAAAUGACACUUGACAGCCCAGGAAAGAAAGAAAUGACAGAUAACAACCCAAAAAAGAAGAAAUGACAGAUGACAGGUUAUUUUGUUAGAUGUCAAAAUAAAAGACAAAGAAAACAACAAAAACUAGUUUUAUUUUUUAUUUAUAUAAUAUACAGUAAAACGUAAAACCUGUCAGUAACGGCCACUAAAAAUGAAAGGACUGUUGGCCGGUAUUGCCAGUUUUUGUAGUCUACAUAAUAUAAUUGGUUUGUGGAAUUUUUUAACUGGCCGUUUUAGUACAGGUGGCCGGUUUACACAGGUUUUACUGUAGUUUAUAUUUACAUUAAAACAACAUAACUGAAACUUUAAAUACUUAUUCUCACUCUAAAAAUAUAGAAAACAAGAAGUAAUAUUGACUACUUAACAAGGCUAGACUAUUUUUUGUUUAUAAACAUAAACCACAAUAAACAUGGAGGAGCCAAGACGCAAACGGCACAACGGCAGGUGUAAUAAAGUGUAAACUAAAAACCAACAGAGUUGCCAGUGCCAGAGCCAGAUAACUAAAAAGACAGUUCACACAACCAACAUAAUAACCAAAAAAGUCACUAGAAAAA